rnacentral:snRNA from 1 species
AGCUUUGUGCAGUGGCAGUAUUAUAGCCAAUGAAGUUUAUCCCAGGCAUGAUUAUUGCUAAUUGGGGAAAAAACUCCAUUAGAGAAGGAGGAAAAAUAACAUUUUGGGUGGGUCUUUAUGUGUUUUUCUCUGUGCAGUGAUCCCUGUUGUGUUCUGUCAAUAAAGAUGAAA